GACGAACGCUGGCGGCGUGCUUAACACAUGCAAGUCGAACGGAAAGGCCCUGCUUUUGUGGGGUGCUCGAGUGUCGAACGGGUGAGUAACACGUGAGUAACCUGCCCUUGACUUUGGGAUAACUUCAGGAAACUGUGGCUAAUACCGGAUAUGAGCUCCUGCUGCAUUGUGUGGUUUGGAAAGUUUCGGCGGUUGGGGAUGGACUCGCGGCUUAUCAGCUUGUUGGUGGGGUAGUGGCUUACCAAGGCUUUGACGGGUAGCCGGCCUGAGAGGGUGACCGGCCACAUUGGGACUGAGAUACGGCGCAGACUCCUACGGGAGGCAGCAGUGGGGAAUAUUGCAAAAUGGGCGGAAGCCUGAUGCAGAAAAGCGGCGUGCGGGAUGACGGCCUUCGGGUUGUAAACCGCUUUCGCCUGUGACGAAGCGUGAGUGACGGUAAUGGGUAAAGAAGCACCGGCUAACUACGUG
rnacentral:rRNA from 1 species